rnacentral:lncRNA from 10 species
GACCGAAAUAGACUCUGAAGUAAUAUCUGGACUUUGAAAUUGUUUCCUUAAUGACAACAAAAAAGGGAGUAAUCCUACCCACUGUAAGAGUCAUGACUCUUGAUUGCAGCUGACAGAAACUCAUGACAGCCUGCUUUAGAUGAAGGGGGAGAGAAGGACUGGAAGAAUCUUGGAGUUGGGAAUGUCACACGUAAUUGAAGGAAGAACAAGAAAACUAUAAUGGGGUCUCGCUCUGUCGCCAGGCUGGAGUGCAGUGGCGUGAUCUCAGCUCACUGCGACCUCUGCCUCCUGGGUUCAAGAGAUUCUCGUGCCUCAGCCUCCUGAGUAGCUGGGACUACAGGCAGCUGCUCCCAACCCCAGAACCUUUGCUGUCUUGGGACGGAUCACCGCUGCAAGAGGGGAAGUUGCUACUGUGAUGAAUUCUGCCAUGUGGCACCAGACUGCCACCCAGACCACAGUGUCCUCUGCAACCCUGGUAACUCACAUACAGGCCCGAUUCCACCUACAGCAAAGCUGGAUGCGAUGGCUGGCAGAGGCAAACCCUUUGCCUGCACUUCAGGCCAAAGCCGGGAUGUGGCCUAGAUGGUUCCUAAGGUCCCUGACAAUCCUGAGAUCUUGCAUCUUGUCUAUUUCAGGUCAAAGGUGCCUACAUGCUCCUUCUAGCUUUGUUUCCCUGAUGUUCCUUGCCACCUGCUACUCCUCUCUGAGCUACUUUUCCAGGUUCCACAGGGAGAGGUUCAGCUGUCCGUGGUAGACAUGAGGGUAGAGAAUGAGGUGGUUGGGUUCCACUUACCUUUCUAUCAUCUUGCAGUAUGGAUGUCUCUUGACUGGUACCGUGUAGACUUUUGAGGGCACACAGGAGUCUGCAGAGAGAUACUGGGGACAUUGAGCAGCAGCAGUGGGGUUGGGAGGCAGAAAUGAGGACAGGAACAUUUACCUUGUGUUUCUCUCAGCUUCUCAGAUGACCAAGAUGGUGCUGCAGAUGGUGCUGAGGAUGGAGAACCCACCAAGCCC